CCUACGGGAGGCAGCAGUGAGGAAUAUUGGUCAAUGGGCGCGAGCCUGAACCAGCCAAGUCGCGUGAGGGAAGACGGUCCUAUGGAUUGUAAACCUCUUUUGUCGGGGAGCAAAAGACGCCACGCGUGGCGUUCCGAGAGUACCCGAAGAAAAAGCAUCGGCUAACUCCGUGCCAGCAGCCGCGGUAAUACGGAGGAUGCGAGCGUUAUCCGGAUUUAUUGGGUUUAAAGGGUGCGUAGGCGGGUUAUCAAGUCAGCGGUAAAAUCGUGGAGCUCAACUCCAUCCAGCCGUUGAAACUGAUGAUC
rnacentral:rRNA from 1 species